UAUCACAAAUAUCUAUGCAAAUAUGUGAAUCAAGUGCAACAAUCAAACAACAUAAUGAUUUCCACAAAGAAAAUUUUAAAAAUAUAUUUAUGUUAUGUAGUCUUAUUUUAUAUUCUUUAAAUAAUGUAAUAUAAUAUUAUACAUUAUUUUUUUAGAAUUGAGAAAUACAUAUAAUAUCUUAUUUAUCUGUGCAUAGCGCGGUUAAAAAAUUUAGUCAAUUAUAAUGAGCAAGUUUCAAGACUCUUCAGCAUGCCACAUCAUCACUAGCUAUUUAUGUGGGACCUACCUACUUAAUCAAAUAUUUGAUUACUAGUAUUCUCUUCCGUGCUAUGCACGGGCAUUAUUAUUUGUAAACAAUAUAUUUUAAUAAAUAUGUAAAUUUUCCUACAAUAAGUAUUAUUUUAUCUUUUUAACUCUAAAGAAACUUUAGUAAUAGAAACGGGGUUAUUAUUAAUAAAGUUAAAGAAAUAAAUAAUCUGUUGUUUAUAUUUUACAACACUUCAAUAUAGACCCAACAUAUCAAGAUAAGAGAUUGAUUUCACUUUUUCAAAACCAACAAAAUAUUAGUAUUAGAGAUCAAAUUCAGGAAAACCGUAGCUCUUGUAAAAAACAAUUAGAUAUAAACAAUAUUUUUGUAGGAUAUUGACGUUAUCUCUUGUAGUUUUUUAGUUCUUCUCGAUGUGUCAUUGCAAGUUGUAUAUUUACGGGACUCUAUACAGAAUUAGGUAACACUAUAUAAGAAAAAAUAAAAUCAAAUAUGUAUAUUACUCCUAAUUCCUAAAGUAAACAAAAAUAUUAUCUUUAUACAAUUAUAAAAACAUGUAUAAAAUAAGGAAAACCAACAUGAGAUUAGACCUUGAUCUAGAAAGUAGACAUGGGAUUCCUUUUUGUUUCCUCUACCACUUUGAGUUUCUUAAGCCCAGUCGUUUGUUUUUGCUUCUUAUUGUGGUGCUUCUCAAGUUUAUAAGUGAGCUUGUUACUUUGCUCUCUGGAAUCAUCACCAUCACAACAAAUAAAAAAUUUCAAGCAUAUCGAGAAUUAAUCUAGUCAAUUAAAAAACGGCAGUGACCUAAUUUGUGUAGUUUACCUUUUUUUUAAUGAUAUCUGCAUAAAAAUAUGUAGCUUUUACCAAUAUCCAAAAGAGAAAAAGGAAAGAAAAAAAAUCAUAAAUAAGUUAUAAAAGAAAAAAGGUUCAUGAAAAAAAUCAACAUUACAUAAAUUAUGAUUUAAGUAUUGAAGAGUUUGAGCGUAUUUAAUUAGUUUCACUAACCUGAAUUUUAACUUCAUCUGCCAACUUCCCAAGAUGUUCUUUUAAGAGUAUUGCUGCCACUGUUUGGCCAGAGACAUAUCAACCUGGACAUAGAAUUGUAGUCCUGAUGAAAAUGUUGAUACGAUAUAUUCAAACUCUGAUAGAAAAAGUUAGUGGAGCAAUUGCAGACUGUGGAGCAAUUGCAGACUGAGAAGAAUUGAUAACAUCGUGAGUCAAAUCUUGUAAAGAGAAAGUCUUACGGUUUCAGAUUUUGAGAUCAUGAAGUAGUGGGAGAGAUAUUAUUGAUUUUUAUUUUAUCUUGAUUUAUAUGUAAAAAUAAUAGAAAUCAGUUAUUAUUUUAAUAAAUAACGGUUUGUUACAAAGCGUUUUCUUUUUGUGAAUUUUUAUUUUUAAUUAAAAAUUUUAAAUAUAUACCAAAUGUCAGAAUUUUUAUUGGCCAUGUGAUUUGUGCUUUAUUAUAUAAAAGAUGGAAAAAUAAGAAAAUUGUUAGUUUAUAUUUAGACUCCAGAAAAAUAGGAGAUGCAAAGAAAAAUUCAUAAAAAUUGCUUUACUAAUAAUCGUAAAAGGUUGGUUAUUUGUCUUAUUUUCAAACUUUCAUAUUUGUUUUGAUAACGUGUUUUACUUUUCUAUAUUUUUCAAAUUUUUUUUUAAAAAAAUAGAUUUUCUACAUGUCAACUUUAAAUUGGUGAUGCGACUUGCGCUUUAAUAUAUAAGAGAUUUCGUUGCUUACAGAAAUUGUUUUAUGUUGUUUGGGGCCAUAAGUUUGAUAUACUUGUUUACGUGAAGCCCAUUAGAAGGUUUUUCCCAAUCUCAAAUAAUUCAUUUCUUGCGACAAGAUGAAAAUUCUGCGUCUCCCCUCCCUCCAGAGCCGGUCUUGGAAGGAAGCCAAUGAAGCUUCUGCUUCCGGCUGCACAAUAUUAUGAUUUUAAACGGCCACAUUUGGACAGAAAGUCCUUAGUAUCUUAGUGGUUUGGCUUGGUGUUGUUAGUAUUCAAGGUUGUGGGUUCGAGUGACUUCGGCCACAUUUUUUAUUUUGGCUUCUAGCCACCUAAUUACUAAGACCGGCUCUGCCUCCCUCCCUUUCAUAUACGUAAUUCGGUUUCAUGGCACUAAUCUCCUUACUCCCCUUCCAUCUUCCCCUCUUUUAUGAUACCCUUAAUCACUCGACUAUUUCAUAACCUCUGCCAUAGCCGUUUCUAUAUAAAGUUGAUCCUGGAUCCCGAAAUUGAACAUCGCAACUCUCAUCCUUGCUUUCGUCAUCCGCGUAGCUUAUACCCCACAUGUGCAAAAUAUAUUGCUCUGCUGUUGUUGCUGCUCAAUCAGCUGGUACAUACGUCACUUUCGACGAUCUCCGCCUUGGUCGGUCGACUCAGGUCAUGUCAUCAGGGCCGGGUCUGAGCCCAUUCUUGUGAAACAUUUGAAUUGGACCCCAAUAUUUUAAGGGCCCCAAAUUAAAAAAAAAUCUAUAUAUUUGCCUUUUUUAAUUAAGUUUUUUGAUAUAAUACACAACAAAAUAUAACUUUUUGAAUAUAUAUAUAUAUAUAAUAGUUGAAAUAUUAAAUAAGGUAUAAAUAAAUAUAAUGUGAAAUUAUAUAAAAUAUGUAUAAUAAUUUUUUUAAAUGUAUUUAUUUGAUUGAAAAAAAAACUUGAAUGGAUCCCAAUUUUUACAGGCCCUGCUCUGCAUGUCAUUGUCGGCCGCCUCCUACCCUUCUGCUCUGGGAUUCCUUCAACAUCAAGAAGAAUUUAGAGUUUAUAGGUAUCACCCUACUCUAGGUAUGUUCAUCCACUCUCUCACAUCCAUGAUUUACCUCGCAAUUUCCUGAUCGAGAGUGAAAAAAAUUAAUUAACCAAAAAAACCUUAUGUCUGUUUGUGUUUGUGAUCUUCUAACGAAUUCUGAUUGAACCUCAUGUAUGGCUAUGCAGAAUUCUGUCAUUCAUGGAUUUAUCCCUGCGGCUCGUGCCAAUGGCAAUCAGUAAUGCGCUUCUCUAUGAACCGGUGCGAUCGUCAAAAUUGCUCGGUUUGAAGUCGGGCGUCGCACAAAAAUAUACAAGAUUACCGAUCAGUCCAACUCAAACGACCAGGUAAGUAUAGCUCUUUCAUAUUCUUUUUUAAAAAUUCUCCAUGUGUUACAAAAUUAAUACUUCUAAUGGAAGUUGGACAAAUAUGUCACCUCCCUCCGCUGCAAUAGAUGUGUUCACCCAAUGUAACUGAUGACAGUUAAACCCAUGUCCAAAAGAACACUACAAAUUGUAAAUGAUCAUAAAAACGCAAGAUUCCAUGUAGAGAUGGCCGUUGAAGAUGGCAAAGACAGUGCAGUGUUUGUGGUCUUCGAUACCGAGAUGUAUAAACUCACCAAGAUUGAAGCAGCCACACUAGCUCUAGAGGAGGUUUGGUCUGCAGCUAAAGAGUUGGCUCUAAAGCUGGGUCUGGCAAAGGCACAUCUUCUAGAUGAUGGGUAACUUUGUCUAACAUAUAGGUAAACAACUUUUUCUAAUGUUUUUGUAUCUUGCGCGUUCUCGGUAUAUUCCUAUAUGCAUCUCUCUAUGGCCUUGAGAUCGAAACAUUAAAGGUGAGACCAUCCGGUGUCCCUAUAGUUUCCUUGAUAGCAAUUGGAGGUUUACUCUUUGUUAUCGGAAAAAUAUAUGGUGCUUAUCUGGUCAGGCUCCCUUCUUGCUAAUCCCAUGCUUACAAAAAAAGUUUUCAAAGCUUGCCGCUGUUUGACUUUAAUGUCUCAGUAUUUUUGUUUCAUUUCAGGAUUUUUACUGUGUUAACAGUCCAGUUAUGUAUGAGGAUCGUCAAUUCUCUCCUUUUUGGAUAAAGCUCCUAAAGUCUUACAGAUCCCUGAUCAUCAAGUCUAUGAGAACGAACAAAUGAUUAACCCACGUGCCAAACUUCGUUUCAUGGUGAAAGCAGCAUUAACCCUCCACAGCUGGAUCUCCAAUCUAUGGAACCACCUGCUUCUGCACGCAAUCCGGUGAUGAGCCUCCAAACAUAAUGGAAGUUGAUCCACCAAUACCAUUAAACUUUGGAGCCGAAGAGAAGAGCUGCAAACGCCCAAGUGUGUUAUCCUAGCAAGUUCGGGAAACCGUUGUUCCCAUGCGCAUUAGAGGUUUAAAGGAGAGUAUCACACUUUUUACGAGGAAAAAAAUAUUAAAAAAAGCAAAAGUGAUGAACUCGGUUCGUCUCGCAUCUCCUGCGUGAUACCCUCUCUCCUAAAGUUCAUCACUGUAGCGCGGGCCCACGACACGUGGCAGUCCGCGAUUGGUUAAUUUUUUUAAAAAAAAAAAAAAAAAUCAAAAAAAAGGAAAAAACUUAAUAAUAAAAAAUUAAGAAGAUGAACUCCAAAGGGGGUUCACUGAUGCUCUUGCUCUA